ACGAACGCUGGCGGCAUGCCUAACACAUGCAAGUCGAACGAGACCUUCGGGUCUAGUGGCGCACGGGUGCGUAACGCGUGGGAAUCUGCCCCUCGGUUCGGAAUAACAGUUAGAAAUGACUGCUAAUACCGGAUGAUGACGAAAGUCCAAAGAUUUAUCGCCGAGGGAUGAGCCCGCGUAAGAUUAGCUAGUUGGUAGGGUAAAGGCCUACCAAGGCGACGAUCUUUAGCUGGUCUGAGAGGAUGAUCAGCCACACUGGGACUGAGACACGGCGCAGACUCUUACGGGAGGCAGCAGUGGGGAAUAUUGGACAAUGGGCGAAAGCCUGAUCCAGCAAGGCCGCGUGAGUGAUGAAGGCCUUAGGGUUGUAAAGCUCUUUAGCCGAUGAUUAUAAUGACUGUAGUCGGAAAAUAAGCCCCGGCUAACUUCGU
rnacentral:rRNA from 1 species